rnacentral:rRNA from 1 species
UACAGAGGUCUCAAGCGUUGUUCGGAUUCAUUGGGCGUAAAGGGCGCGUAGGCGGUUACGCAAGUCGGAUGUGAAAACUCCAGGCUCAACCUGGAGACGCCACCCGAUACUGCGUUGACUUGAGUUCGGUAGGGGAUCACGGAAUCUCUGGUGUAGCGGUGAAAUGCGCAGAUAUCAGAGGGAACACCGGUGGCGAAGGCGGUGAUCUGGGCCGACACUGACGCUGAUGCGCGAAAGCGUGGGGAGCGAACAGG